CCUACGGGGGGCUGCAGUGGGGAAUAUUGCACAAUGGGCGCAAGCCUGAUGCAGCCAUGCCGCGUGUGUGAAGAAGGCCUUCGGGUUGUAAAGCACUUUCAGCGGGGAGGAAGGCGUUAAGGUUAAUAACCUUGGCGAUUGACGUUACCCGCAGAAGAAGCACCGGCUAACUCCGUGCCAGCAGCCGCGGUAAUACGGAGGGUGCAAGCGUUAAUCGGAAUUACUGGGCGUAAAGCGCACGCAGGCGGUCUGUCAAGUCGGAUGUGAAAUCCCCGGGCUCAACCUGGGAACUGCAUUCGAAACUGGCAGGCUAGAGUCUUGUAGAGGGGGGUAGAAUUCCAGGUGUAGCGGUGAAAUGCGGAGAGAUCUGGAGGAAUACCGGUGGCGAAGGCGGCCCCCUGGACAAAGACUGACGCUCAGGUGCGAAAGCGUGGGGAGCAAACAGGAUUAGAUACCCCUGUAGUC
rnacentral:rRNA from 1 species